rnacentral:rRNA from 1 species
AAUCAACGCUGGCGGCGUGCCUCAGACAUGCAAGUCGUACGAUUAAGACUCCCUUCGGGGAGUGCAUAAAGUGGCGCACGGGUGAGUAACAUGUAAGUAAUCUACCCUCGAGUGGGGAAUAACAUCGGGAAACCGAUGCUAAUACCGCAUAACGCAGCGGCACCGCAAGGUGACAGUUGUUAAAGGAGUAAUUCGCUUGA